rnacentral:piRNA from 1 species
UGAGUCGCCGCGCAGUGUCCUGGAG